UUUCUAGAGAUAGAAAGUUACUUCGGUACAUCGGUGACAGGUGGUGCAUGGUUGUCGUCAGCUCGUGUCGUGAGAUGUUGGGUUAAGUCCCGCAACGAGCGCAACCCCUAUUGUUAGUUGCCAUCAUUCAGUUGGGCACUCUAGCGAGACUGCCGGUAAUAAACCGGAGGAAGGUGGGAUGACGUCAAAUCAUCAUGCCCCUUAUGACCUGGGCUACACACGUGCUACAAUGGUUGGUACAACGAGUUGCGAGUCGGUGACGGCGAGCUAAUCUCUUAAAGCCAAUCUCAGUUCGGAUUGUAGGCUGCAACUCGCCUACAUGAAGUCGGAAUCGCUAGUAAUCGCGGAUCAGCACGCCGCGGUGAAUACGUUCCCGGGCCUU
rnacentral:rRNA from 1 species